rnacentral:rRNA from 1 species
GAUGAACGCUGGCGGCGUGCCUAAUACAUGCAAGUCGAGCGAACAGACGAGGAGCUUGCUCCUUUGACGUUAGCGGCGGACGGGUGAGUAACACGUGGGUAACCUACCUAUAAGACUGGGAUAACUUCGGGAAACCGGAGCUAAUACCGGAUAAUAUUUCGAACCGCAUGGUUCGAUAGUGAAAGAUGGCUUUGCUAUCACUUAUAGAUGGACCUGCGCCGUAUUAGCUAGUUGGUAAGGUAACGGCUUACCAAGGCAACGAUACGUAGCCGACCUGAGAGGGUGAUCGGCCACACUGGAACUGAGACACGGUCCAGACUCCUACGGGAGGCAGCAGUAGGGAAUCUUCCGCAAUGGGCGAAAGCCUGACGGAGCAACGCCGCGUGAGUGAUGAAGGUCUUCGGAUCGUAAAACUCUGUUAUUAGGGAAGAGCAAACGUGUAAGUAACUGUGCACGUCUUGACGGUACCUAAUCAGAAAGCCACGGCUAACUACGUG